GACGAACCGUACAAACGUUAUUCGGAAUCACUGGGCUUAAAGGGUGCGUAGGCGGCGGCGCAAGUUGGGUGUGAAAUCCCUCGGCUCAACCGAGGAACUGCGCUCAAAACUGCGUCGCUUGAGGGAGAUAGAGGUGAGUGGAACUUAGGGUGGAGCGGUGAAAUGCGUUGAUAUCCUAAGGAACACCAGUGGCGAAAGCGACUCACUGGGUCUCCACUGACGCUGAGGCACG
rnacentral:rRNA from 1 species